CUCUUCAAAUUUUAUUCACAUUCGGGCAGGUUCUGCACACUUCCGAGUGAUUUCAACCCCUACCAAUUUGAAUUCCAAGCGAGUUUGAUUGAAAUUCACUUGAAAGUGAAUUGCAGAACCUGCCUGAUUA